rnacentral:lncRNA from 1 species
AGAGGAGGCCAACUAUGCAAGUGACAGCCACUCUGCAAACAUUAGGUGGGAGGUGCCAAGCUCAAGGCCAGAAGAAGGUUUAGGACUCAGUGGCUCACAGUGAAGUGAACUGCAGCACAGGAUGCCUGGUCCUGGAAGACUGCACAGGACAGAAAAGAAGCCCAAAGCAAAUGCUGGCCUCUCGCGUCUGCAACUCAGCCGGUCUGGCCCUGGCCAGCAGUGCAGAUGCGACCUCCCUCGGCUUUUCUCAACAAUAAUCCCAGCCCCUUGUUAUGAUAAACUACUUGCUCCUUGCUCGGCAGUACAUUCAGGAACUGGACUGCUGCCAAGGAAAACUCAGGAGCAGUGGUAGGACUAUUGAAAUAAAUUCAUAGCCUAUGAUAAAUACAGGAAAAACAGUCCUGGUUAAUACGCUUAUAUGCCAACACAAUCGCAUGGUUAUUUAAGAGGAGGAGUUUUUACAUAAAUGUAUGUGAUUUUAAUAAGGCUGAUUCGUUUUUUCAAAUAAGCAAUUCACAACCUAUUUAACCAAGUAGAUGCCAGCCCUUCAGAGUUGAUAUCAAUACUGUAGGAAGCUACAGCUGCCUGAAACAGUUCUAUUCCUAUCUGUGGAGGCUUUCAGAGCUAGUCCAGAAGGACCAUUGGAUCCAGCACUGGAUAAUGAUGCUUUCUGGUUUCAAGUCCCAAAUGGCAUCACCCAACAUGCUUACUGGCCACACUUGGCCUGCAUUCUUUUUGAGGUUUCCAAAAAUUAAAUCCACCUUCAAAAAAAUAAAUCUUUGCUGCUCCUCAAGCAUGCAAAAGACAGCUCUGUAAGUCCCGGAUUUCCAGAGAGAGAUUCUGAAGUUAUUCUGAGCAAGAAAAACAUCAUUGCUGACCUCACGGGUGACUGCUGCAAAUACGCAACAAGUUCUGAUUUCUUUGUUUGAAGAUCUGUCAUGUCAUUUUAGAAUCAGAGUUCAUCUCGACUCAUCCUGUGCAGACUGUCAUCAGGUUUGGUUUGCACCAAAGAGUUGACCCGCAUCGAGGAAUUUAAACCUUGAAUACCAGACCCACUAUGACAUUUGGAUCAGUGGGAGCCUUUGCAAAUCCAUAUGAAAACCUGAGCAGCCCACACGGGGUGUUUCAGCAGCUGGCCACCCUGCAGGAGGUGCAUGGAGUGAAAUAACUAAAAGCAGCCUCUUUACUUCUAAUCUGGCAUAAAUCACCCUGAUUCGAUUUCAAGGGGAUGGGGUGGGUGUGCUGGAAUGAAGGGCCAGCGCCCGCUUUCAGGAGAACCUUGGUGCCCUUCGUGUGGUGUUUCAGGCUGGGUUUUGCCUUCAGGAGAGCAGAACGCAUGCCCCGCUUCCAGGUGAGAGUCCAAACACUCCCGGCACUAACUCUGUGCUUAUUACAAAUCAACCCCCCUAGGCCUGGUUAGGGGGGCGAGGAGCACCUCCGCUGGGCUCCACCUUGUGGGUGAGCUGGGCAGAAAUUCCUGUUACGGGGGACUUAAUUCAUGUUGCCCCAGAAAGUCUCUCUUCUUUUUCUUCUCCCUCUUCCUCUCCUUCCUAAGAACACUGAACGAAUGCAAGGACAGAAGUUGACUGGGUAAACCUCCAUCUGUGCAUGAAGCUCAAGAUCUGCUUCCUCCAACCCGCAGUCCCCUCCACCUAAGGCAGCAGAGAGAACUCUCAGCAAGCCCAGGACACCCCCAGCCCAUGAAGCCCAUCAGCUCUGUUGCUCUGUUUUUCUAGCGUUCACUUUCUAGACUCAAGGUGACUUCUGGGCUUUCAGGGUACUAAGACUCUGGCUGGCAUGGCUUUGAUGUGUCAUGACCGGAAAGCAGGCACACAUGCUGCCAUCCCUCAGGGGACAAGGCUGCUGGGUUCUUCCCAUGCUACAGGGGACCCAUCAGCCUAGAGCUGCAGAAAGGGGGGCACUGUGAGGAUAGAAAGUGACCGUCUACAACCAAAAGUGAAACCCAUAAAAGGACAUAAUAAGAGCCUUUUGGAAAGCCCAGGGCCCUGUAACCUACACAAAACCACAAUCAGGUCCAUCGCAGGCUGGAGGCAGCAACCCAGUUGCCCACUGAUGUUCUGUGAGUCUUACCAUUGUGCGGGGUCCCAUGGUUGCAUGGGCAGCAGAUGGGACUGUGGCCCUUGAGGAGCUUCCACUUAGAAAGGUUAUGAGAGAGUGAAUUCUGAAGCCAAAAUGCUUGGAUUUGAAUCUGGGCCCUGCUAUGUACACAGACAGUUGUGUGGUUUUGGGCAACUUAUUAUUAUUAUUAUUAUUUUGUGACUCAAUUCCUCUUCUGUAGAAGGACAUUAAAAAUAUUCCCUUCCAGAGUUCCCGUCGUGGUGCAGUGGAAACGAAUCCGACUAGGAACCACGAGGUUGCAGGUUCGAUCCCAGGCCUCGCUCAGUGGGUUAAGGAUCCAGCGUUGCUGUGAGCCAUGGUAUAGGUCAGAGAUGUGGCUUGGAUCAGAUGGGCUGUGGCUGUUGUGUAGGCCGGCAGCUGUAGCUCCAACUAGACCCCUAGCCUGGGAACCUCCAUAUGCCGUGAGUGCAGCACUAAGAAGACAAAAGACAAAAAAAAAGUCCCUUCCAAAGAAUCACUGUGAGGAGAUAAUGAGUGAAUCCAUAUCCAGGCUUAGGACAGUACUGGACACAUGCUUUAUGAGGGUGAGCGUUAGCUGUUAUUACCUGAACACAGAAGACCUGUGUCAGAAGUCAGAGCCUUAGGUAGGCAGAAUGGGCUUCUAGGGAGGGGAGGGCCUGACUUAGGACAUUGGGGCAUCGUCUAACACUUUUCCUCUAAAUGAAGCUCACCACCCACGACUACGGGGCCACCACUCUGCAGAAGGGCCUCUGGCAGCACUUCCCAAGCCCUUGAUGAAGGCUGUGGACACCCACACUCAGCUGCUCACCUUCCGACCUGGUUCUUUUGCUCGUCUUUGCUUCCUCUGCUGGGCCACCUGCUGUUGAAUCAGGCAGGUGAUUUCAGUUCAAGUCAGCAGAGGUCUAUUUCCAUGGGAGGAGCUGUGGCAACAAAAACAUGCAUUGAACAAUAUCCGUAUUGUCCUCCAGAAGCUCCCCAGUCUGGUGACAGACGAGGCAGCAGUUUCCUAAGUCAAUGUAUUCGGAGAGGUUGUUCUGGGAGGGAGAAGAGGAGGGCUCGGAUCAGGGACAGAGUGAGCACCUCUCCAAGGGUGACUUCAAAAGAGGAGUCAGGGCCAGGGUGCAGAGGCAGGGUGCAGGGGCCAUGGCAGUCCAGACCCAAGACAGCACUCGAAGCUUGGCUUGGACCCCCCACUCUCUCUGCAAAUACCAGGGGUGACUUUCUUUUUGUCUCCCUUGUCCUCCAGCUGCUCUGAAAUCCCCCAGGAUCUGCCAGGGGCCUGAGGAAGUAUGUGUGGAGUUGGCCUGAGUCGACCAGCUGCUCUGCUGUGUGCAUCGCAGGCCUGCUCGAGAUGGGGUGGAUGGGAUGGGACGCUCUGGGCAGAAGGCACAGCAAAAGCAAAGGCUGCAGCAGGAAGGCCAGUGGAGCUGUGCGCACAGCUCUAGCUGUAAAGCCGGACCCCUUCUAUCCAUUAGCUCUGUCAUCUGGGGAAGGCUGCUUUGCUUCUCUUGAGUUUUGAUGACAAAUUGGGCAGAAUAAUACCCAGGAGAGUAUUUAUGAGGAUUGAGUGAGGGAUAUAUACCUGAGGAAUACCUAAUAAGCCCCUACUGUGUGCUCAGCCAGAAGAGAUUGUCGAGGUCCAAGCCCAGCUUUUCUCCUUCUGCUGUCUGUUUUUAUAACACCCAAGGGCACCUGGAUCAUUUGCUGUCAAAGAAAUCAGGGAACACAAAACACCUCUCUUUGAAAUAGCUUUUGAAAAAAGAAGGCAGUGUUGGCCAAAGAUUGGGCAUGAUGGUGUUGGUCUUUAUAUCCCAGCAAGAGUCCAAUUGGGCUGUAGCUGUAUAGACUUUCCUGGUGGGUCCCACUGCCACGGGAAGCAGGCCUCUGGCCUGGAGGAGAGGCCUAGAGCCUGGGAGUUGUAUUUCCUGCUUAGAUUAAGGAGGUGGCCAAUUAGGGCUAAUUGCGGAGACGAUGUUGUGAUGUGGACAUCCAUCUGCUCGGGGGACGCUAUGUGCAGACAGCAGGGUCAGUACACAGACGUCAGAGGACAGCCAUUGGACAGGAGCCUUCAUGCACCACCAACCUGUCCUCUUCGAUGACCCGAGGGGAAUGCCCCCUACCCCAGUACCAGUCCUUGGCCAUCCACAUUCCCUGUUACUGCCACCUGAAUCUGCCUAGCCAGAGAUGCAGAAGUUGAGCCUGAAAAUGGCCCGAGGAAAAGAGGAGGAAAAAGAAAGAAGAGGAAUGCAAUUUUUGCUGGGCUUAAGUCAUGGUUUGUAACAUAUCUAAAGUCUGAGCUAUUUACAUUAAAAACAACAGAAAUGGAGUUCCCGUCGUGGCUCAGUGGUUAACGAAUCCAACUAGGAACCAUGAGGUUUCGGGUUCGAAUCCCUGGCCUCGCUCAGUGGGUUAAGGAUCCGGCGUUGCCAUGAGCUUUGGUGUAGCUCGCAGAUGUGGCUCGGAUCCCACAGGGCUGUGGCUGUGGCGUAGGCCCGCGGCUACAGCUCCGAUUCAACCCCUAGCCUGGGAACCUCCAUAUGCCGUGGGAGCGGCCCAAGAAAAGGCAAAAAGACAAAACAAACAAACAAACAAAAAAACCCGACAGAAAUGAAUGGUUCAAUAUAUAAGCAAAGCUGUGAAGGGGCAAAUCCUCGCACAUGGCUGAUGGGAGUAGAAAUGGAUGCAACCCCAACUGGCGAUGUCUAGCACGACCUCACAUGUUGACAAGGGAACAUUUGAUAAAGUAAUUCCACUUCUAAGAAUUUACUCUUCAGAUACUCUCACUGGUGCAAAACGGCACAUGUAAUGUUACUUCUUUGUUGCAAAGUUCUCUGCAAAAUAUUUUAAACAACCUCAAUAUCCAUCAGCGGAGGACUUAAGAAAAUUAUGUUGUAGGGUACUGUGUGGACAUACACGUGUGUGUGUGUUUGUGUACACACACAUGCGUAUACUUCCCACGUAUGUAAGCAUCGCUAAGAAAUGUUGUUAGGUCAAAAAUGCAAGUUGCAACAGUGUGUAGAGUAUGCUACCAUUUGUUCAUGUAUGUACACACAACUCUGGAAGGAUCUUGAUGAAACGAGCGACAUUGGUGGCUUUUGGAGAAAGGAACUAGGUGACUGGGGGACAAGAGCAGAAGAGAGACUCUUGCUGUUUACUUUUUUACACUGUUUGAAUUUUGAACUAUGUGCAUAUGUAACUUAACACAAAAUACUAAUUAAAGAAUAUUUGUCUUA